CCAAUAGCGUAUAUUAAAGUUGUUGCAGUUAAAAAGCUCGUAGUUGAAUUUCGGAAUCUGUCCGUUGGUCGGGCUUAACUGUCCGUACUGAUGUGAUGGGUUCUUACCUUCUGAAUAACCAUCAUGCCAUUAAUUUGGUGUGUUGGGGAAGCAGGACUAUUACCUUGAAAAAAUUAGAGUGCUCAAAGCAGGCUAGUGCCUGAAUACAUUAGCAUGGAAUAAUAAAAUAGGACGGCAUGGUUCUAUUUUGUUGGUUUCUAGGAUCACCGUAAUGAUUAAUAGGGAUAGUUGGGGGCAUUAGUAUUCAAUUGUCAGAGGUGAAAUUCUUGGAUUUAUUGAAGACUAACUUCUGCGAAAGCAUUUGCCAAGGAUGUUUUCAUUAAUCAAGAACGAAAGUUAGGGGAUCGAAGACGAUCAGAUACCGUCGUAGUCUUAACCAUAAACUAUGCCGACUAGGGAUCGGACGAUGUUAAUUUUAUAAUGACUCGUUCGGCGCCUUAC
rnacentral:rRNA from 1 species